AGGACGAACGCUGGCGGUGUGCUUCACACAUGCGAGUCGAACGAGGUAGCAAUACCUAGUGGCGGACGGGUGAGUAACGCGUGGGAAUCUGCCUUUAGAUGGGGGAUAACGAGCCGAAAGGUUCGCUAAUACCGCAUAUGCCGCAAGGUGAAAAGGAGUAAUCCGUCUGAAGAUGAGCCCGCGUCCGAUUAGCUAGUUGGUGGGGUAAAGGCCUACCAAGGCGACGAUCGGUAGCUGGUCUGAGAGGAUGAUCAGCCACAAUGGGACUGAGACACGGCCCAUACUCCUACGGGAGGCAGCAGUGGGGAAUUUUACGCAAUGGGGAAACCCUGACGUAGCGACACCGCGUGAGCGAAGAAGCCCCUUGGGGUGUAAAGCUCUGUCAGCUGGAACGAAACAAAUGACGGUACCAGCAGAGGAAGCAUCGGCUAACUACGUG
rnacentral:rRNA from 1 species